AGGCUGCAACUCGCCUACAUGAAGUUGGAAUUGCUAGUAAUCAUAGGUCAGCAUACUAUGGUGAAUACGUUCCCGGGCCUUGUACACACCGCCCGUCACACCAUGAGAGUUGGGAAUACCCGAAGCCCAUGUCAAAGUGGUCGAAGGUAGACUUGAUGAUUGGGGUGAAGUCGUAACAAGGUAAC
rnacentral:rRNA from 1 species